rnacentral:rRNA from 1 species
AACGAACGCUGGCGGCGUGCUUAACACAUGCAAGUCGAACGGAAUUAGGGGCUUGCUCCUAAUUUAGUGGCGCACGGGUGAGUAACGCGUGGAUAACCUACCCUGGUAUCUGGGAUAACAUCUCGAAAGGGGUGCUAAUACCGGAUAAGCCCACGGUCUCUUUGGGGAUUGCGGGAAAAGAUGGCCUCUAUUUAUAAGCUAUCGUACCAGGAUGGGUCCGCGUACCAUUAGCUAGUUGGUGGUGUAAUGGACUACCAAGGCGACGAUGGUUAGCUGGUCUGAGAGGAUGAUCAGCCACACUGGAACUGAGACACGGUCCAGACUCCUACGGGAGGCAGCAGUGGGGAAUUUUGCGCAAUGGGGGAAACCCUGACGCAGCAACGCCGCGUGAGUGAUGAAGGCCUUCGGGUCGUAAAGCUCUGUCAGAGGGGAAGAAGUGAUAGUGUGCUAAUACCACAUUAUCUUGACGGUACCCUCAAAGGAAGCACCGGCUAACUCCGUGCCAGCAGCCGCGGUAAUACGGAGGGUGCAAGCGUUGUUCGGAUUUAUUGGGCGUAAAGCGCGUGUAGGCGGUCUUUUAAGUCUGAUGUGAAAGCCCCGGGCUCAACCCGGGAAGUGCAUUGGAAACUGGGAGACUUGAAUACGGGAGAGGGUAGUGGAAUUCCUAGUGUAGGAGUGAAAUCCGUAGAUAUUAGGAGGAACACCGGUGGCGAAGGCGGCUACCUGGACCGAUAUUGACGCUGAGACGCGAAAGCGUGGGGAGCAAACAGGAUUAGAUACCCUGGUAGUCCACGCCGUAAACGAUGAGUACUAGGUGUUGCGGGUAUUGACCCCUGCAGUGCCGCAGCUAACGCAUUAAGUACUCCGCCUGGGAAGUACGGUCGCAAGACUA